CCAAGAGAGGGACUCAGGGUCGGAGUGAGGUCCUGAAGAGGAGGAGCUUGGAUACAGAAUUUUGAUGCUGGGGCAUCAACCGUGGCUCUUGAUGUUGAACCGAACAUUUGGGAAGGACACCAUUCAGGAGGCUAGGACCGCAUGGCCCAUGACCCACCUCCACCUGUGCGGAACAGGGCAGCCUGCCCCUCUGGUCAACAAUCUUUAUCUGCUUUGUACAUCGAGUCCAGCCACUGUGGGAUGGAGACCAUCACACCGCCCGUGUUUGAGGAUUUCUCCACUACACAGACAACAAUCACUCUAUAGUGUAACCUGUCGAACCUGGUGUGAGGCAACUGAAGACUGUAACUUGAACAGUAUGAAAGAGUUUUGCUGCCACCUAAUGGAAAAGUAUCAUAUUUUUUAUUAUUCUGCAAUAGACAACUUUCUUUUUACCUCAUUGAAUAUUCAUGUCAAAACUACAUUCAUUAUUUUAUUAAAUAUACUUCAGUUGGGAAUGAGUUUCUUCAUUUCUAUUAACUCUAAUGUUUUUGGGGUGCACGUGCUGUGUAUGUGUGUUGUGGUAAUGCAGGGGGUAUGACGGAAUGAAAAAUUAGUUUGAUUAAGUUUUAAUCUAAGCAUCAUGAUUCAUUUUCUAUGAUUUUCUUCAAGUGAAAUUUGCUAAAAACUUAAGGAUAUUAUAGGUGGGUUAUGAAUAUUGAACUUCUCUGCUCAAUGAACUUUAGGCAAUUUGGAUAAUCCUAUUAGUGAAAAGAAGAAUUAUCUAUAAUAUGAAAGGAUGGUAGGGAAAAAAACAGUAAAACAUAUAUAUGGAUAGAUAGAUAGAUAUAUUUACCUAGUAAGCUAAAAAUAUUCCAAGUUGCCUUUUUCUUCUUAUAAUCUACUUUUCAAUGUCCUUAUUUAACAUACACAUAGGAAUUAUUAUUAUUAUUAUUUUUAAAAUAUUCUUUUUCUUUUUAAGAUUUCAUUUAUUUAUUCAUGAAAGACACAGAGGAGAAAGAGAGGCAGAGACACAGGCAGAGGGAGAAGCAGGCUCCAUGCAGGGAGCCCAAUGUGGGACUCGAUCCUGAGACUCUAGGAUCACGCCCUGGGCCAAAGGCAAGCGCUAAACCACUGAGCCCCUCAGGGAUUCCCUAUUAUUAUUAUUUUUGUCUCUUUUGCUCACUGACCAAUGCCUGCCUGGUGCAUUCUAAGUAUUAAUAAAUGUUUAUUGGAUGAAUAGUAUUUAUGUGAC
rnacentral:lncRNA from 12 species